rnacentral:tRNA from 5 species
GGGGAUAUGGUAUAAUUGGUAGUACUUCAAUUUUGCAUAUUGAGUGUCUAGGUUCGAGUCCUGGUAUCUCCA